AUUGAACGCUGGCGGCAUGCCUUACACAUGCAAGUCGAACGGCAGCGGGGGAGAAGCUUGCUUUUCCUGCCGGCGAGUGGCGAACGGGUGAGUAAUACAUCGGAACGUGCCCUGUAGUGGGGGAUAACUAGUCGAAAGAUUAGCUAAUACCGCAUACGACCUGAGGGUGAAAGUGGGGGACCGCAAGGCCUCAUGCUCUAGGAGCGGCCGAUGUCGGAUUAGCUAGUUGGUGGGGUAAAGGCCUACCAAGGCGACGAUCAGUAGCUGGUCUGAGAGGACGAUCAGCCACACUGGGACUGAGACACGGCCCAGACUCCUACGGGAGUCAGCAGUGGGUAAUUUUGGACAAUGGGCGAAAGCCUGAUCCAGCAAUGCCGCGUGUGUGAAGAAGGCCUUCGGGUUGUAAAGCACUUUUGUCCGGAAAGAAAUGGCUCUGGUUAAUACCUGGGGUCGAUGACGGUACCGGAAGAAUAAGGACCGGCUAACUACGUGCCAGCCGCCGCCGUAA
rnacentral:rRNA from 1 species